rnacentral:rRNA from 1 species
GUGAGGAAUAUUGGUCAAUGGGCGGAAGCCUGAACCAGCCAAGUCGCGUGAGGGAAUAAGGCCCUACGGGUCGUAAACCUCUUUUGCCGGGGAGCAAAGCACGGGACGUGUCCCGUGCCGGAGAGUACCCGGAGAAAAAGCAUCGGCUAACUCCGUGCCAGCAGCCGCGGUAAUACGGAGGAUGCGAGCGUUAUCCGGAUUUAUUGGGUUUAAAGGGUGCGUAGGCGGCCUGUUAAGUCAGCGGUAAAAUUGCGGCGCUCAACGCCGUAGAGCCGUUGAAACUGGCUGGCUAGAGUGGGCGAGAAGUAUGCGGAAUGCGUGGUGUAGCGGUGAAAUGCAUAGAUAUCACGCAGAACCCCGAUUGCGAAGGCAGCAUACCGGCGCCCUACUGACGCUGAGGCACGAAAGUGCGGGUAUCGAACAGGA